CACGUAGGUGGCGAGCGUUAUCCGGAUUUAUUGGGCGUAAAGCGCACGCAGGCAGCCAAUCAAGUCUGACGUGAAAGCUCCCGGCUCAACUGGGAGAGGUCGUUGGAAACUGACUGGCUUGAGGCAAUGAGAGGGGUGCGGAAUUCCCGGUGUAGUGGUGGAAUGCGUAGAUAUCGGGGGGAACACCAGUGGCGAAAGCGGCACCCUGGCAUUGACCUGACGCUCAUGUGCGAAAGCGUGGGGAGCAAACGGG
rnacentral:rRNA from 1 species